UUCACUGAAUGGUAGGAAGGCGGCGUGUCAGAUUGGGACGUCGCGUUUCUACUGUUGAGUGAAUAGAGUGUCUUAGUGGCGGACGGGCGAGUAACGCGUGAGUAACCUGCCAUACAUGGGGGAAUAACACACCGAAAGGUGUGCUAAUACGCAUGAUGUAUCGAGAUCGCAUGGUCUUGAUACCAAAGAUUUAUCGCUGUAUGGAUGGGCUCGCGUCUGAUUAGAUAGUUGGUGAGGUAACGGCUCACCAAGUCGACGAUCAGUAGCCGGACUGAGAGGUUGAACGGCCACAUUGGGACUGAGACACGGCCCAGACUCCUACGGGAGGCAGCAGUGGGGGAUAUUGCACAAUGGGCGCAAGCCUGAUGCCAGCGACGCCGCGUGAGGGAAGACGGUCUUCGGAUUGUAAACCUCUGUCAUCGGGGACGAUAAUGACGGUACCCGAUGAGGAAGCUCCGGCUAACUACGUGCCAGCAGCGGC
rnacentral:rRNA from 1 species